GGAGCCGCCACGGGAGGGCGCGAUGGAAAAAGGGUAAAAAGGAACGGCGGGGAGGUGGGGAGAGACUUGUGCGAGCGGCACGAUCCAGGGAGCGGCCUUACUCUGUCCUCUGUCAAGUUUUUCCAGGUUCAGGAUGUACCGACGCAGCAGGCCGCGCAGCAGACCACAAUCGGAUCCGGCGCCAGCCAGGCCUUGCCCGCGGCAGAAAUCAGCGGCUACGUGGACGGUUGUCCACCAAGGUUAUCCAGUGUCGUGGGCCUCGCACUCCAGGUGGUCGUCCCAGCCGCGCCCGCUCACGAGCGCCGACCCAGCCACCGCCCCUCUGCCUUUCCGGGGCCUGACGCUCGAGGAGAGGCACCCUGCGGACCCGCUUCAACCCCUCACGCCAGACGAGCAGCGUCUCCUCUGCCCCAUUUGUAAAGUCCCGGAGUUCCACCGUGCCACCCAUCGACGGGGAGACCUCCACCAGUCGCGCACCGAGCGAGCGCGCCCAGAACCCGUCGACGUCGCAACUGCCCUGGCUACUCUCCGCCGGCUCCGCCCAGAGCUGUUACGAGAAGCGGAGGGAGUAGCUGCACCCCCCAACCCCCAGGAGGACGACGUCCUCAUCGACUUGGACGUGAAUGAGGAUCUCUGAAGACCCUGUGCUCUGGACUUGUGGGUGGGGGGAUGUGGAGACUAUAGGGGGCGCCAGUAAGAGGCACCGAGGGCAAAGGAGCCGCCACGGGAGGGCGCGAUGGAAAAAGGGUAAAAAGGAACGGCGGGGAGGUGGGGAGAGACUUGUGCGAGCGGCACGAUCCAGGGAGCGGCCUUACUCUGUCCUCUGUCAAGGUACGAAAUAAACCGUCUGAUGUUUGACUGAC